ACUCAAAGGAAUUGACGGGGGUCCGCACAAGCGGUGGAACAUGUGGUUUAAUUCGACACUACGCGAGGAACCUUACCUAGGCUUGACAUACAUAUGACCGUCCUAGAAACAGGGCUUUUCAAGCGAAAGCUUGGACAUAUGAACAGGUGCUGCAUGGCUGUCGUCAGCUCGUGUCGUGAGAUGUUGGGUUAAGUCCUUUAACGAGCGCAACUCUUGCCGUCAGUUGCUAUUCCGUAAGGAAGCACUCUGAUGGGACUGCCUGGGAAACCAGGAGGAAGGUGGGAAUGACGUCAAGUCCUCAUGGCCCUUAUGCCUAGGGCAACACACGUGUUACAAUGGCUGGUACAGAGGGUCGCAAUUCCGUAAGGAGGAGCCAAUCCUUAAAGCCAGUCUAAGUUCGGAUUGAGGUCUGCAACUCGGCCUCAUGAAGUUGAAAUCGCUAGUAAUCGCGUAUCAGAACGACGCGGUGAAUACGUUCUCGGACCUUGUACACACCGCCCGU
rnacentral:rRNA from 1 species